GAAACAUCUCAACGGAGAUCUUUCCAUUCCUCAUUAUCUGGUAACGCGUUUGCUGGAUAGCAUCAUUGUUAUACAUCUCGACGUCCUAACAGAGCAAGGAGGCAUAUACGUACAACAAAAUUUUUAUCCAUCUCAGAAAUUGAUUGAAUCUAUUUAGACGAACCAUGAAGGGAUUCUCCUUACUUACUCCGAUGAGUUGUUGCAUGUUCUUUGCUAU